GUGGGGAAUCUUGCGCAAUGGGCGAAAGCCUGACGCAGCCAUGCCGCGUGAAUGAUGAAGGUCUUAGGAUUGUAAAAUUCUUUCACCGGGGACGAUAAUGACGGUACCCGGAGAAGAAGCUCCGGCUAACUUCGUGCCAGCAGCCGCGGUAAUACGAAGGGGGCUAGCGUUGCUCGGAAUUACUGGGCGUAAAGGGCGCGUAGGCGGACAGCUUAGUCAGAGGUGAAAGCCCAGGGCUCAACCUUGGAAUUGCCUUUGAUACUGGCUGUCUUGAGUUUGGGAGAGGUGAGUGGAACUCCGAGUGUAGAGGUGAAAUUCGUAGAUAUUCGGAAGAACACCAGUGGCGAAGGCGACUACCUGGACUGAUACUGACACUGAGGUGCGAAAGCGUGGGGAGCAAACAGGAUUAGAAACCCCUGUAGUCC
rnacentral:rRNA from 1 species